GUUGCAUUGUGGGAAAUUUACCGGCUGGAGGCUUUAAACGGGAUCAAUAAUCACUUCGACCCGCGGUGGCAGCGCUGCACCAAGAACUACUGAAGCAAACUACACAAAACUUCAGAACUCACUGAGCACAACUUCUGUCUUCACAACAGAACUUGAACAUGUUUGCCAUGGAAACAGGUGAAGGUGCAAUGUGAACGUCUCUCCUACUUCGUUUUGUCAGACUAGAGCAGCAGGAGAUGCACAAGAUGUGAGCAGGGAAGGACAGCACAAGGUGAAGCGAGCAGCAGAGACGGCAGAGUGAAGUGAACCUGAAG